UCUGGUGAGCCACCCCGCUCAGGAGCCUUUUUGGGGCACACUGUCGGGCUAUGAAGGAGCAGGACAGUUGGGUCUGUCCCUGAGCAACGUCUGUGAAAUGGCAGCAGCUCUAAUGUUGAGAGGAAGUGCGGGAGGAAAUGUGCUCCGCCCUGUCAGGUGGGUCUUCGCGCUGCACACGGGAGCCCCGCUGUCCUCUCCCCACACAGCAAUUCUGUCAUCCCCUUCUGUGCUGGCCAGGCUUUCUGCUGACAGUUACCAAACAACUAUAAAAGUGCUGCCAUUUGAAAUAUGCUUCGUGGUGGGGAUUGCUGUUAACCCCUUGCCUGCUUUUCUCUCAGCAUUUCUGAUGCUGGGCACCUGCCCCUUCAGGCCACUGCACCAAUAAAAAAAAUCCACCUAGGCACGUCCAUAUCAUGUUUUUACUUAUAAACACAACAAGGCCAUAUUCCAGUUAACCAUAUUGUUAAAUUCCUGGUAUGGCCCCACCAGAGCACCCUAAAACCACCUGGGUACGGCUGAGGGCUAUCUUUGAGCCUGAAGUCAGUCAGGCCAUGGGCACUAUUUGGGAGAUCAUGUGGAGAAAAGUACAAGAUUUCAGACAUAAAAGAUGCUGAGAGCAUUUAUUUGUUCAUAUGAACACCACCAGUGCUCCCAUAACGCAUCAUUCCCCCAGCAGGUGCUGUUGGGCUCUUUUAGUGACUGCAGCUGUCUGUGAGGAGAGCAGGACAAGUGCUUGGGGAGCUGUUACUGUGAUCAGGUGUUGCCCGAAAGUAAUUUAUCUGGGAGGGGAAGAAGUGGCUGUGCUGUUCUCCAAACAUAGUCUCUGGCAGCUGGGCUUUUCUGGCUUGAUGCCUCAAAUGUCCACUGUGGCACAGAAGCUGCAAGAUGGAGCCCAUGCUAGCAGUGGCUGCAGUGACCACCAGGCUGGGCAGGCCUCCUUUACCUGUUGCUGUGUGUGCCUGGUGGUACCAGGCAGCAGAAGAUCAGCGCACACUCCAGGAGGAAGCUGGACCACCACACUGGGUAUUAUGCAAACCUAACCAGCACUCCCUAAAUUACAUUGCCUUUGAGUCUUUCCCUGCGCAAGAGGGCAUCUGUGAUGGGGUGUAACUUGUGGUCAAGACACUGAGGAGAAUUAAAAGAACCUACACCCAAGAAAAAUGUUUGAGUGGACUUCUGGAGCAUAAGCACUUUAUCAGGAGAUAACAACCAGGGAAUAAGUGCCUCGCCCGGAAGUCUUCCUCUCCCCUUCUGUGGUUCUGGAAUGCUGGAGGCAAACUCUCCCUUCAUCCCUCUGCCUAGGGCCCACGUCCAGGUGCAUCUUUCCCUGUCUGCUGGUGGUUAUUGCAGCAAGGGGAGCUAAUAAGGAAAUGAGCCAGUCCACAGAAAUCUGCUAAUUAACCUUGGGACACACCUGGUUUUAUCUUGUGGCUGCAAACAAUUUUAUCAAAAGAUCCCUAAGAUCAGCAAAACUACCUCCCUUCCAGUCUGUCUCUAGGCACCCAGGCUGUGCGAUGUCUCCGAAUCCAGGAAGGGGCCCUGCCCAGCAGCAGUUUGUACCAGUAAAGUCAUGGGCUGGUUUUGGAAAUGACGUGGUGGAAGCCCAAGCUUGGGUUGGCUUUGGCAAGGUGAACGUGUGGGCACUGGUCCCCAGAGGAUAUCACCAUUUGGUGCUGGUGGCAGCGCUGGUAGAACUGGGGGGCUUUGCUUCCACUUGUCAGCAGAAGGCUACAAAACACUCUAGUCAAAACCCACUUGCUUAAAGACAGCUCCUAGUGAUGGGCCAGAUAGGCUUGUCUUGCUUCUUACUGUUCCAAAGGCAUGAUAUACAAAUGUAAACGUAAAGCCUUACAAGUUAUACCCUAAACCAAACAUAAGUUUGGGGAGUGAUGCUCCUGUGGGGAGAAGUGUUAAUUAGUGACACCUUCUGCUACAAAGUCCAGCGACAGACGGGUCUUACUGUAAAUGAGUGGUUGGUCUGGAAGGACUAUGCUCUGGGGAACCUGCAGGAGUUAGACAGAUCUAGCUAUGCUGAUUGGUAAUAAUCUGUGGACAGUGAACACAGGACCUAAGGUUUGACAAUGAACCAUACAGACAAAACAACAAUAAGAUGUGCUUUGGAAAAAAGACUGCAAGCUUUUGUCUUUAUUUCUUUUUAACAGUAUCAUGGUCAAGUGUGAUGCAUCUUUCUCUUGCCAGCAUCAGAAGGGAAUUUGUCAAAAGAAUUUUCCAGAUUCUGCCACAGAAUAUUGAUGAGAUCAUAGUCAAGUCACAGAGUUUUGUUGUACUUUAUAGCUUGAGGACAGUAAUAUUAUGGUCGUCUCUGUGUGCUUUAUCUGUUUUAUACCAGAAGCUUUUGAUCUACAUCUGCCACGACUAGCUUUCAAGCAGUCAUUAGAAAUAAACAAGCAAAAAAAUAUUUUCUUCCCCAAAGUUGGAAAUAUUUUGUUGAAAAUCUCUAGUCUAAAGAAGACUUUAAAUUUUCAAGUGGAAACUUGAAGUUUGCUAAGAAAACUAGACAUUACGUACAUUUUUUUCCUGAACUCUUCAUUUUCUAUCAAAAAAAAAAAAAUCUGUAAUAACCAAGCCUGGUGGACAUAGUUCUGGGAUGCAGAACUCCAGGAUUCAAAAGAAGACAAUACAUGUUUAAAAUAGGUUUUCUCUAUUUUAGUGAACGCCCUGCACCCUCUGCUGUUGGCUGUCACAACACAUACAGCAGCUCGUUCCUUGGCACUUCCUUUUGAGUGGCCCAGGCUGAGGGUCUCUGCUCGAUAAGCUGCAGUGGUUCCUGUCCUCUAGCACCCUGUCGAGCUUCUAGAAUUUGAGAAUGCAAAGAAAUGCUCUCUGAUCUGCUCCGUGAGGUAGGAAUAGCACCUCAUCCUCCUCUUCCACUUCACUUUUGUAUUCAUGAAGUAUUUGGGCAGUUCCUAUCUUCACCUAUUUGACUGCUUCUAAGUGACAGGGCCACACAUCUUGUCAGUCUCCAUAAGCUCGUACCAGCUCAACUCUUCAGCUCGUUUCUGCCUGCUGGUGAUGGUUACCUGAUUACAGCCUUUCCCCAGCUUUUGAGUUCUGUUUUUUCUGAUAAAUUUUGGUAUGACGGUUUAGGGAAGGAAGGGGAAUGCCAAGGAAGCUGCCCAAUUUUCUGUACUGAGAAUUGAGGUUAUAUAAGACUCAUAGGCAUCCUGGUAAUGUCAGCAGGGUCAGGUGGCGGGGAGAAUUGCAGUAGGGCAGGACUGUGGCUGACAGAAGGGGCACGUAGGCGCAGGCAAACCCCUGAAAACAUGUUCAAGAACCAAUGAGUAAUAGCACUCUGUCCCCGUGCAUACUCACGCUGGCUUUGUGCAUGGGCAACAAGUCCCUAAAACAGAGCUAUCAAAACCACAAGUGAAUGCUUGCAUUUUCUGGAAUGAGCUUUUAUUGAAAUACUUGACGUUUAGUUCCUUUGCUAAUAUACUUUUGUCACUUCAAAGGGCUGUUACGCCUUGUCUGGUGUCUCUUGGGGGGCUUUCUGUGGUGUUUUUAAGAAGCAAUCCAUGUAAAUACAAUGCUCAGGCAAAGGCUCAGGCUCAGGCUGCCUGAGGUCAGCAUCACAGCCCCACCUGGGAAGUACUUCUGGUCAACAUAGUCUAUAAUGGUUGUCACAGCCAACAUAGUCUCCUCGCAUGUGGGCUGGAUCUGGUCAGGAGGUAGAACAAAUCCAUAAGUACCUUUGUCUCGCAGUUCAAAUGUAUAGGAGAAAGGAAUGCCAAUCAUGUGAGCCCAGUCCCGUGAGGAGCCUGAGUUAUUGU